AAGAAGGGUUUCGGGGUUGUAAAUUUCUUUUAAGGGGGAAGAGGGGGAAGGAGGGUACCCCUAGAAUAAACCCACGGGCUAAAUUACGUGCCCAGCAACCCGCGGGUAUACGUAGGGUGGGCAAGCCGUUGCCGGGAUUUACUGGGUGUAAAGGGGGUGUAGCCCGGGGAGCAAGUCAGAUGUGAAAUCUAUGGGCUUAACCCAUAAACUGCAUUUGAAACUGUUCUUUCUUGAGUGCUGGAGGGGCAAUUCGGAAUUCCUUGUGUAGCGGUGAAAUGCGUAGAUAUAAGGAGGAACACCAGUGGCGAAGGCGGAUUGCUGGACAGUAACUGACGGUGAGGCGCGAAAGUGUGGGGAGCAAACAGGAUUAGAUACCCUGGUAGUCCACACUGUAAACGAUGAAUACUAGGUGUGCGGGGACUGACCCCCUGCGUGCCGCAGUAAACACAAUAAGUAUUCCACCUGGGGAGUACGAUCGCAAGGUUGAAACUCAAAGGAAUUGACGGGGGCCCGCACAAGCAGUGGAGUAUGUGGUUUAAUUCGAAGCAACGCGAAGAACCUUACCAGGGCUUGACAUACACAGGAAUACAUUAGAGAUAAUGUAGCUCUUCGGAGCCUGUGAACAGGUGGUGCAUGGUUGUCGUCAGCUCGUGUCGUGAGAUGUUGGGUUAAGUCCCGCAACGAGCGCAACCCCUAUUGUUAGUUGCCAGCAAGUAAAGUUGGGCACUCUAGCGAGACUGCCGUUGAUAAAACGGAGGAAGGUGGGGACGACGUCAAAUCAUCAUGCUCUUUAUGUCCUGGGCUACACACGUACUACAAUGGCAAGUACAGAGGGAAUCAAAACCGCGAGGUGGAGCAAAACCCAAAAACUUGUCUCAGUUCAGAUUGCAGGCUGAAAUUCGCCUGUAUGAAGAUGGAAUUGCUAGUAAUUGCAGGUCAGCAUACUGCAGUGAAUACGUUCUCGGGCCUUGCACACACCGCCCGUCA
rnacentral:rRNA from 1 species